rnacentral:pre_miRNA from 1 species
CAGUUUUUGAUGUCGCAGAUACUGCAUCAGGAACUGAUUGGAUAAGAAUCAGUCACCAUCAGUUCCUAAUGCAUUGCCUUCAGCAUCUAAACA